AGAGUUUGAUCCUGGCUCAGGACGAACGCUGGCGGCGUGCCUAACACAUGCAAGUCGAGCGGAGACAAUAGCAAUAUUGUUUUAGCGGCGGACGGGUGAGUAACGCGUGGGCAACCUGCCUUAGACAGGGGGAUAACACAGGGAAACUUGUGCUAAUACCGCAUAACAUCACGGAGGGACAUCUCUUUGUGAUCAAAGGAGCAAUCCGGUUUAAGAUGGGCCCGCGUCCAAUUAGCUAGUUGGUGGUGUAACGGACCACCAAGGCGACGAUUGGUAGCCGAACUGAGAGGUUGAUCGGCCACAUUGGGACUGAGACACGGCCCAGACUCCUACGGGAGGCAGCAGUGGGGAAUAUUGCGCAAUGGGGGAAACCCUGACGCAGCARCGCCGCGUGAAGGAUGAAGGUUUUCGGAUCGUAAACUUCUUUGAUGAGGGACGAAACAAAUGACGGUACCUCAAGAACAAGCCACGGCUAACUACGUGCCAGCAGCCGCGGUAAUACGUAGGUGGCAAGCGUUGUCCGGAUUUACUGGGCGUAAAGGGCGCGCAGGCGGCCUGUCAAGUCAGACGUGAAAUCCCUCGGCUCAACCCUGGAGGUUCAUGUGAGACUGGCAAGCUAGAGUGCAGCAGARGAAAGCGGAAUUCCUAGUGUAGUGGUGAAAUGCGUAGAUAUUAGGAGGAACACCAGCGGCGAAAGCGGCUAUCUGGACUAUAACUGACGCUGAGGCGCGAAGGCUAGGGGAGCAAACAGGAUUAGAUACCCCGGUAGUCCUACCCGUAAACGAUGAACACUAGGUGUGCGGGGGAAAUCCCCCUCCGUGCCGAAGCAAACGCAAUAAGUGCUCCGCCUGGGGAGUACGGCCGCAAGAUUAAAACUCAAAGGAAUUGACGGA
rnacentral:rRNA from 1 species